GAUGAAGAACGUAGCGAAAUGCGAUACUUGGUGUGAAUUGCAGAAUCCCGUGAACCAUCGAGUCUUUGAACGCAAGUUGUGCCCGAAGCCAUUAGGCCGAGGGCACGCCUGCCUGGGCGUCACACGUCGUUGCCCCCCCAUCUACUCCUUCGGGAUUGCGGGGGGCGGAUGAUGGCCUCCCGUGCGCCUCGCCGCGCGGUUGGCAUAAAUGCCAAGUCCUCGGCGACGCACGCCACGACAAUCGGUGGUUGCGAAACCUCGGUUGCCCGUCGUGUGCGGUCGUCGCGCAUCGAGGGCUCGAAAAAAUUGCCGGGUUCCGGCUCGGCUUUCAACGCGACCCCAGGUCAGGCGGGGUUACCCGCUGAAUUUAAGCAUAUCAAUAAGCGGAGGA
rnacentral:misc_RNA from 1 species